GCAGAGAUAGGAGGAAAAGAGGACAGCGGCUCCGAGCCCUCCGUCUACCGCAGUUUGGCCUCAGAUGCGCCCAUGUCCAGCAGCAAGAAGUCAGAGAGACGUCUGCGUCAGAGUCCCGAGAUGCUGGUGACUGGGAGGCUCACACAUGCCCGACGGCCUGUUUGGAGAAUGACCAGUUUAUUGGAAAAACACCAAAAUGUCCCUCUAAACCCCAAAUAAUCCCACGACACGAUUUUUUUCUUUCUUAACUCUUAAUUAAUUCACAAUUAACAGUUUGUACAGUUCGACCGCACUGUGUACUCAGCACGAGCAACUACUGAAGCCCGGAAGUUGCAGAAGGCCAGACAGAUUUAGCCUACUGCAAGUUUGAGGUAAAAAAAACGAAAAACGAAAACAAUCGAGCAAAAUGUGUUUAGAGAACGAGCAAAAUGUGUUUAGAGAACGAGCAAAAUGUGUAGCAUGGUUGUCCAGUGUAUAAAUCGAAAAUAACCUUAUUCUCAGCAUGACAGUCAGGUGUCUAUUUGACAUACAGAUGACCACUAAAUGUGCAGUGCGAGGCUUGCUCAAGUAAAGUAGCCUACGUUUUAAGAAAUGGCCCGCAAACAUAUUUUUAAAUAUAAAAAAAAAUGCUGAAAAAAAAGACGUUUUUUGACUCUUAUGAGUGCAUUUACCUGUGAAACAAAUCUGAGGGUAGGCUACACUGCACAGCAAACUAACACAGAUAAACACAUUGUGCAGUAAUUAACAACAUUCACAUAAUCGCUGUAAAUUUAGCUGGCCUAUAUAAGGUAUAUUUAUCAUUUAUGAGGAAUUUCGAAGAACAGGCCUAAAAUUAAAACAGAAGUACACCUGAACUACAUGUGGCUGGACAUUAAAGUAUUAAAUAUACAAGAAAAACGCGACAUCACUAAUAAUGAUUAAAGUAUGGAUGAAAAACGGUGAAGUUGUUUGUUAAAAGCUAUACAUUGUUUUAUUAGAACAAUAGACCAAAUACUUUGUCCAUCUGAAAAUAAUUUGAAGAAACCUACUUGCAUUUGUCUAUGAAUGUGGCUUAAAUAAUAAUUUAUACUCCUUUGCACUGAUGCUGAUGCACCAUAUGCUUAUUGACCUCAUUUCAAUUAUGGCAUAUUUUUUUCUUAAAAUAAUGUGGAUGAAAUGUCUUAAAACCUAAAGCCACAUCUCAACCACCACGGCCAUUACGUUUUUUUUUCUUCUAUUUUGUGGAAACAGGGGACACAAUAACAAAAUAACACAAAUGGUUGUUGGCAUAAACCCUUGAUUUAGGCUAUAUUAUCAAAACAAAAUAAAAAAAGGAGCCACCCAAGGAAAAGUUAACAAGUUGGGUUCCUUUUAAAAGUUCUUUGGAAGAAAUGUAAAUCUAAAAAAUAAAUUCUUUAUGUUACAAAAGUUACAAAAACCAACUGGAGGAAAUGUACUGGCGUGCGUCAGCCCUGAUCAUGUAAAGCAACCUAGAAGUGUCAAUUAGGCUGAGCUUUGGGUUAAUAGAAGCCCUGAAUGGUGGAUCUCACCACAGCCCUCUAAACCAGCCAUUACUGCAGACCACAACGACUCUGAUACCACACUGUUUUAAGACCCAACAUUAUGUGGGCAAUAUGUUCCCUAAAGCUCACUGUAAGAGGAGAAGGGCACAUUGUGGGAUCAGGCAGGCAGAGUUCAGACAACAUGGAGGGACUGUUUUUUCUAAAGUCUGUAAACCUUCAAAUGAUUCUUUCCUAAAAAUUACAAGUUUAAGAUCCUGGAAUAGAACUGCAAACCAUGACUGACAUGUUAAAAACUAAUUAUCAGAGAAGAGACCAGCCGAUUCAUUGCUGGUGAUAAAUUGCAGCAGACAAAUAUUCACUUAUCAAAGAUGGAUUUGGCACCAAGUGUUUACGAGUUUAGAGAAACGUAAACAGACGUCUUUAAUCAUCAGGCACACAUUUUAUCAAAGUAAUUACUAGAUAUUGAAGUGCACAAUAAGGAUAACAAUAUAAGGAACCAUCUCAGAUUAUGUUUAAGUAGUUACAGAGUAAAUGUGGUGUCUGAGCAAUAUGGAAAUCGAACAGAUGUUUGACGCACCUGUCUAUGUAGCACAACAUGACUGAGUUAAAUGGUCCCUCCUCUGUCCGCAAAUCAAAAUCUCAAAACACUCUGAUUUGUAAAGCGAAAUAAUGUUGUUACAAAUGGUGAUUGUUACAAUAAACUGAAGCAAUAUAACUCAGGGUGGACCAAGGUGAAAAUAACAAAUGUCCUCAGAAGUAAAGGUGAAACAGAAAGACAUUCACGGACCUUUAAGAAAAAAAAAGGAGAAAACAAUGCAAAGGGAAAUGGCAGCUCAUCCAGACAACUUUAUUGUGCUAUUUACAAAAUGUACAAAUUUGCAAAGCUACUGUGCACAAUUAAACUACCAAGGCCUAACAAGAUCACAAAAAGAACUACGGACGGUCAAUCAAAUAGAUGGAAGAAAUAAAGAAAAGCAAAUAUAGCUGAGCUGGAGAAUUGAGUGACUAUUAUACCUAAAUGAUAAGCCAAAUUUUAGACUCAAAGCACUGCCAGCAGUGCACAAAAAACACUGCACAGCUAAAAAAGCACAACACAAUAAAAAACAAAGGCCUCAGUCCUGCUGCCACUCUUCCCUCUGACUCCUGCAGCAUAUCUCCUGCUCUCACCGCCCUCUGCUGCAGUGAAAAUUAAAUACUCAUUUGGCCUUACACAAAAUAUACUCUGCACCAAGACCAUAUGUCAAACUCGGUGGAACUAUUUUUUUCCCUCUCAAUCAUCAUUCCUCUUCCCGCUAAAAGAAAUGGCCCAGACAAUUCUGCGCCUCCAUGCGAGUAGUGCAAUAAGCGGUGGAAAG